rnacentral:tRNA from 1 species
GGAAGUAGUUCAGUGGUAGAAUACAACCUUGCCAAGGUUGGGGUCGCGGGUUCGAAUCCCGUCUUCCG